rnacentral:rRNA from 1 species
AUGGAGGAACCGACGGCGGCCGGCCCCGACUGGUCCAAGCUGCCGCCGGACGUCCUCACCACCGUCCUCGGUGACCUCGAGUUCCCGGAUCUAUUCCGCACCGCCGACGUCUGCACCGCCUGGCGGGCCACCGCCCGCGCCCUCCGCCGCCUCGGGAUCUACAGCCGCCCCCAAACCCCCUGCCUCCUCUACACCACCGCCGCCGCCGGCCCCCGCGCCGCCGAGCUCUUCAGCCUCGCCGACAAGAAGGCCUACAGGGCGCGCCUCCCCGACCCUCCCAUCGGGGAGCGCAACAUCAUCGGCUCCUCGCACGGGUGGCUCGUCACCGCUGACGCCCGCUCCGAGCUCCACCUCCUCAACCCCGCCACCGGCGAGCAGGUCGCGCUCCCCUCCGUCGCCACCAUCGAGCAGGUAAGCCCCGUCCUCGACCGCGAAGGCAACCUUGAAAGGUACGAUCUUUCUCUCCAUGGGGAUGAUCCGCAGCCCUAUGGGGUGGACGAGCUCCGCGGAGUCCUCUAUCUGAAGGCCGUGCUGUCCUGCGAUCCCGCAUUGGGGGAUUGCACGGUCGUGCUGAUUCACAAUCCCUAUAGGGAUCUCUCGUUUGCGAGGGUCGGUGAUGACAAGUGGCACUGGAUACCUUCGGCACCUCGUGAACCGCCGCGGUACUCAGACUGCAUAUUUGGCGAUGAUGGUGCGCUCUACGCGAUGGAUCUCCUCGGCGGGAUGUAUCGCUAUGCCAUUGAAGGUUCUUGUGCCACCCGUGAUAUGAUUUUCAAGGAAACUUCGCCAUUCGUGGCAUAUAAUGGAUACCUAUCCAAGACAUCAUGUGGCAGUGUGUUGCAAAUAUGGAGGGUCAAGAGGAAAACAAGGGGGGAGCAAGAAGAGAUGCAUACAGUUGAUAUUGAGGUGUACAUGGCUGACAUUGAGAAGCAGCAGAUAGUUCGUGUGCGGACGUUGGGGGAUUACGCGUUGUUCAUUGGGCACAACUAUACUUGUUGCCUUUCCACACAGGACUAUCCAAGGCUUCUGCGGAACCAUGUCUAUUUUACGGACGAUGACGAGUAUUGGCUGAUAGAUUCGAAAGACAAUCGUCGGGAUGUUGGAAUACUAAAUUUGGAGGAUUUAAGUGCCACUGAUGUUGUAUCUCCUCAACCAUGGUUGAAUUGGCCAAUUCCCGUAUGGAUCACUCCAAGUUUUAAUAAGAUCCAUAAAUAG